UACGUAGGCAGCGAGCGUUGUUCGGAGUUACUGGGCGUAAAGAGUGCGUAGGCGGUUUCGUAAGUCUGGUGUGAAAUCUCCCGGCUUAACUGGAGGGUGCGCCGGAAACUGCGGAGCUGGAGUGUGGGAGAGGCAAGCGGAAUUCCUGGUGUAGCGGUGAAAUGCGUAGAUAUCAGGAGGAACACCUGCGGUGUAGACGGCUUGCUGGACCACUACUGACGCUGAGGCACGAAAGCGUGGGGAGCAAACAGG
rnacentral:rRNA from 1 species